AGCAGACCCCAUCCAAAAAAGUCUUCUACAUGGUGUGCACACUGGUAUCAACAAGCAAUGAAAGCAAAAAAGAGAGAAUGUACUAAUGAUAGCAAACAUUUCAGUGCUUUCUAAAUAACAGGCAUUGUCCCAAGCUAUGUAUAGCUUAUAUAUAUUAUAUAAUCAUUGUAUAUUAUAUCAUAGUUUGUAUAUAACAUAUAUAUAGCAUAUAUAUACAUAUCUGCCCAUUUGAUCUCUUGACAAUGUGCUGAACCCAUUUUACAGAGGUAAAGCUUGAGGCUCUGAGCAGCUGUACACUCGCCAAAGAUCUUGGCUCACUGGUUCUGGUGGGCACUACAGAGAUGUUUUAAGAAUGACAGCUCAUCAGAGUGGGAGCUAGAAAGCCCUCUGAUCCCCAGGAGGGACACAUAGAGGAGCUGGAACAGAAGGAAUUGGAUUUGAGUUGAGAGGGAUUUGUUUCACAGUUCCCAAGAGUCUGAGUGACUUGCCCGAGUCUCAUGCAGCAACUCCACGGGAGAACAUGUACAGGAUCCGCUUCUCUUGCUAGUUCAAUGCUAUUUCCACCUAAUUCACAGUUCUCUUGGGAGGAAGAGAAAGGAACAGAAGUUAGCCUUAACUAUUUAAGGUGAGGUCUUGGAGAGAUAAGAGAAAGAAUUGACUCUGAGAAAUGAAGAGAAAAUAAGGUAAGAAAGUUACAAAAAAAGAAAAAAAGAAAAGGAAAGAGAUAGGGGUAGGACCCAAAUAUUGUCACUAACCAGUCUAGGAAUAGGCAAGCAUGUAGAUGUAUGUUACCCUAUGAAAGCCUAUGCCAGUCACCAACAACCACACACUCACCUAUUUUAGGAGCAUGUUUAAGUACAUAUGCUGGUGUUAGGGUUAUAAUACAAUCCUUUUUUUAAUGGCAUUUAUGCAUUCUAGCAAAGAGGUCUGAAAAGAUAAUUUCUCCCAAACUAAUCUGCAUUUUUUUCUUCUUCUUUUUGAGACGGAGUCUCAUUCUUUCACCUAGGCUGAGAUCUUGGCUCACUGCAACUUCCGCCUCCCAGGUUCAAGUGAUUCUUGUGCUUUAGCCUCCUAAGUAGCUGGGAUUACAGGCAUGCACCACCACGUCCAGCUAAUUUUUGUAUUUUUAGUAGAGACAGGGUUUCACCUUGUUGCCCAGGCUCGUCUCAAACUCCUGACCUUAAGUGAUCCGCCCACCUCGGCCUCCUAAAGUGCUCCAAGUACAGGUGUGAGCCACCACACCUGGCCUCAAUCCUGCAUUUUUUGACCUCUAUUAUUAUUAUACAGUCCCUGACUCACGACACAGUUUUUUGACUUUAUGAUGGUGUGAAAGUGAUAUGCAUUCAGUAGAAACAGUAUUUCAAAUUUUGAAUUUUGAUCUUUUCCCAGGCUAGCCACAUGUGCAUUAAGAUACUUGCUCAUAAUGCUGGGCUGUGGCAGCAAGUUUUGGCUCCCAGCCAGCUACUGAUCACAAGGGUAAACCACCAAUACUCUGCAGUGUACUGUGUUGCCAGGUGAUUUUGGCCAACUGCAGGCUAAGUGUUCUCAGCACGUUUCAGGUAGGCUAGGCUAUGACAAUCAGUAGGUUAGAUGAUGGCUUUUUCGUGUUUUUUUUUUAUUAUUGUUGUUGUUUUUGAGACAGUCUCACUCUGUUGCCCAGGCUGGAGUGCAGUGGUGCGAUCAUGGCUCAAUGCCGCCUCUACCUUCCCAGGCUCAGGUGAUCCUCCCACCUCAGCCUCUCGAACAGCUGGGACUAUUGCUGUGCACCACCACUUCUGGCUAUUUUUUUUCUAUUUUUUGAAGAGAUGGGAUUUUGCCAUAUUGCCCAGGCUGGUCUCAAAAUCCUGAGCUCAAGCAAUCCACCUGCCUUGGCCUUCCAAAGUGCUAGGAUUACAGGCGUGAACUACCACGCCUGGCCUAAAUGCAUUUUUGACUUACAACAUUUUUUUUUUUUUUUUUUCCUGAGAUGGAGUCUCUGUCUGUCGCCCAGGCUACAGUGUAGCGACACGAUCUCGGCUCACUGCAACCUCUGCCUCCCAGGCUCAAGCGAUUCUCCUGCCUCAGCCUCCUGAGUAGCUGGGAUUACAGGCAUGCACCACCACGCCCGGCUAAUUUUGUAUUUUUAGUAGAGAUGGGGCUCCAUCAUGUUGGCCACGCUGGUCUUGAACUCCUGACCUCGUGAUCUGCCUGCCUCGGCCUCCCAAAGUGCUGGGAUUACAGGCGUGAGCCACCGCGCCUGGCCGACUUACAUUUUCAAUUUAUGAUGGGUUUAUCAGACAUAAAACCCCAUCCUAAGUUGAGGAGCAUAUGUACUGGGGGAUUUUGGUUGGAGAAUCUUGAUGACCAAGUGUUUCAGAGGCCAGUCCCAUGGCACAUUGAAUGCUAGUUCUGUGGAUCCAGGAAGUUAAUGGACCCACCUAGCACUUUAUUUCUUCCCUUGCAGUCUUCCUAAUCCCGUCCCCCAGAUGUCUUCCCUCCCAGCUUCCCUAGAUAACAAAAACUUCCCUUAUGCCUAAGGAGUCUGGGUGAGCCCCUGGAUAUCUUAGGGGCUUUAUUGUCUUUCCCAGCUUUAGUAGGGGAACUAACAAAGGCAGAUAGACUUCUAAGCUAGCAUUCUGUACUUUGGCUGGAAUAUUCCACAAGCUCAUGGCUUUGGGCCAUAAGCCCAAAGGAGUCAUUUCCCAACUUCAGUAUUUUGAAACAUUAGAUAUCCUGUUUCCUUACAACGUGACCAUCUUGCAGAUAAGCACUGCUAGAUCAUCUGCACAUUCGAGUAAAUCCUGUUGUGAAUUGAACAGAGUAACUCCUCUUGCUUAUCCAGGCAAUGUUAAGUGCAGGGCACAGGGAAG
rnacentral:lncRNA from 1 species